GUGAUGAGAGAUCAAAAAACCUGAGCAGAUUUGGUGUGACUCUGAAACUCCUCUGAGCACUCCUAAAACAUUGUCCAGGUUUUCUGUCUCUACUUCUGCUCUCAAGUCACAGGGAAAGAUUUUCAAGAAGGCAGUUGAAUGUACUUGAAGGCAUUUCCAGGGAGCUUCCCUCUUGUCCAAGAAUACAUGACUGUGACAGAUACACAUUACUCUCCAG